rnacentral:lncRNA from 1 species
CAGUAUGAGUUCAAGGCCAACCUACACAACUUAGAACCUCUAAAGAAAGAGUGGUGGUUAAAAGCAUUUGCAGUCCGGUUCCUAGCACCCAUCUGGCAGCUCACGACCAUCCAUAACUCAAGUUCCAAAGGACCUGGCACCCUUUUCUGGCCUCCACAGGCACCAGACAUGCACUAGGUAUGUUUAUAUACAUUGAGGCAAAGCACUCAUUCACAUAAAAAUAGUUCUUCCAGCACUCAGAAGGCAGGGGCUGUUUGAGGCCAGACAGGGCCACAUAGUGAGACCCUGGCUCAAUAAACAAAUCAAUCUUUAGGGGUGCAAAAGAAGCCUAAGGAUACAGCUCAAUGAAGCUCUCACCUGACAUGCAGAGGAGGAGCAGGAGGAGAGGAAAAGAGAAAUCAGAGCCCGUAAGGUGGGGCUUGAACCUGGAGACUCGGCUCCUCGGGAAGCUGAAGCAAGAGACUCAUCUGAGCAUAGAAGUGUUUAAGAUCAGCCUGGGCAGCACAGCAAGGACAGGUCGCAAAUGUAGGAAAAAGGGGGGCCUUUGAUUGAAAAUAAAUAUCCAUGAAGCUCAGCUGUGGCUCAGUGCUCUGGAGACAGGCCAGCAGAUCUCUGUAAGGGCAGCCUGCUCAGUGAGCUCGGCUAGGCAGGACUACACAGUGAGACCUGCUGUAAAAACAAAUCUGCUCCCACUUCUUAGCAAGAAUCGCUAUAGUGAGUUCUUUAUUUUUUCCUCUGUAUGUACAUAUGUGAAUGUAGGUAUUGAUACAUAGUUAUACAUUCUUUAAAUAAUUACAGACUGUAGUCAAAUGAGAUGGCUCAGUUGGUAAAGGCCUUGCCGACAAGCCUGGAAACCUGGAGUUCAGUCCUCAGGACCCACAUGGAAGGAGAGAACUGAGUCCUUUAAAUUGCCCUCUUACUUCCACAUGAAUACCAUGUAACAAGGAUCCCUCACAAACAUACAGGUCAGAAACUAAAGGAGUGUAAUGAAAUAAUAAGAUUUACAUUUUCACUAUUUAUGCUAGUACAUAAAAUAAUCUGUAUUUUACUUUUUAUUAUGUUAUAGAGCCCAGGGCGUCAUGCAUGAUAGGCAGGUACUCUACCACCAGAGCUACAUCCCUAGCUCUAAUUUUGUGUUUUUGAGAUGGGAUCUUACUAUAUGUCCCAGGCUGCUCUCAGUACCCGGGAGUGCUGGGAUAAUAGACUGCUCUUUCAAAAGACCUAGGUUCUGCUUCUUAGCACCCAUCUGGCGGCUCAUAAUCAUUAGUAGCAGUUCCCUGGGAUCCGAUGCCUUCUGGCCUCCACGGGCACUGAUGCAUGUGGUGAGCAAACAUUGCAGGUAUAGCACCUACACACAUAAAAUAGAAAUAAAGGCUUACCAGGCAAUGGUGGCGCACGCCUUUAGUCUCAGCACUUGGGAGGCAGAGGCAGGCGGAUUUCUGAGUUCAUGACCAGCCUGGUCUACAAAGUAAGUUCCAGGACAGUCAGGGCUACACAGAGAAACCCUGUCUUGGAAAAAAAAAAAAAAAAAGAAAAAGAAAAGGGCUUAAAAAAUAAAAUCAGCUAUCAUAGAAUGCACCUAUAAUCAUACUGCUUACAAGGUAGAGACAGGAGGAUGUCAAAUUUGUUGCUGGCCUGAGCUACAGAGUGAAUGAGGUCAACCUGAGCUACAUAGUAAGACCUUGUCUCGGAAUAAAACAAAACAAGACAAAAAAAAAUUUUGGUGCUAUUGGUGUUAAAAGUGUUAAUGACAUUGACUGAGACAGAUAAAGGCAUUAUAUAUUGGAAAUGUUUGAAUUGCAUUUAUGUUUUGUAUAUAUAUAAAUGCAUGCUUGUAUGGGCAUGUAAAGGUCAGAAGACAACUGUGCAGAAAUUGGUGUUGUCCUUUUCAUGUGGGACCUAGGAGUUGAACAAAGGUGAUUGGGUGUGGCAGCAAGUGCUUCCACUCAUUGAACCAUCUUGGGGAAAUCACAUAUUAAAGAUCCUUGAAGUUUGAAGGGAGAAGGGAGGGUAUUGAAGAAAAUAGAAGGAAAAAAAAAAAAAAACCUAAACUAGGCCAAGUGUGGUGUUUGUGGUCAGGAUUACUGCAGGCCCUUCAGAUCUUUCUGUAAGAGCACAUACCGAAGCCGUUGGGCACACUCCUAAAAUCACAGCAGUUAGAGAAAGCUGAGACAGGAAAAUUACAAGGGUGAGUUCCAGGCCAGUCUAGGCUGCCUAGUCAAAGCAAUACAAAAGAUGAUGGGUGGAUUAGAGGUUGUGUGAAUCACAGAUUUACAGUUUGUACACAAAUAUAUUUGGUUACCUAGUUUUAGCCUGUGGAAAUCAAGCAAUUUGAGUUGGAGUUUAGGAUUUAGAUAGAAUUCUGGGACACUAGGAAAGAAUAUAAUGUUCAACUCUAGCAUUUCAAAAAAAAUCUAGUUGGUGGUGAUUACUUGUGCCCUUGAAAACUCUUUGCAUUAUAUAAAUGUAAUUUGUGCCCUGGGAUAAAGUCCUUACUUUAGGAUUGCUUAACCUAGUUCAGUUGUCAUUGCAUCUCAUCCAAAGAAUUCCUGAUAUUCUUGCUGACUUGGGGUGGGGGUGGGGAACGGCUUGUGGCAUUAAGGGGAUCAAAUGGGUUCGCAGAAUGCUGUCUUACACUGCCUGAUGACAUGGGCUGUGGCACAGCCUUCUGAUUCUUCAGGGUAGUAUUGCUGAGAAUAUAUACAUAACAACUCUCAGCAGAGAGAACCCCAGAGACCAAGAUAAGAUGUUACACUUAGAACAUGUCUUGCCAGGCAAUGGUAGUGCAUACCUUUAAUCCCAGCACUUGGAAGGCAAAGAUCAGGGCCACACAAAAUAAACCCUGUCACC